GUGCUUCUCUGUCUCUCUCUUUGUCUCUCUCGCUCUGUCUCCCUCUGUGUCUCUGUGCUUCUCUGUCUCUCUCUCUCUCUCUCUCUCUCUCUCUCAUACACACACACACACACACACACACACACACGGCUCUGUGCUCAGCAGGGCUCCAUCCGUGGUGCCUGGCUGAACACUCUGCUGGCGUCAUCUUGACAUCAGAACAGGGACAGGGGUCCUUGCGCCUCACCGUGCGCCGGGCCCACAGUCAGGUCGCGGUGCUGCCUCCGUGGCCUUGUCCUGAUGCCGCCCCUCGGCCUCUGCUGCGUCGGGGCCCUGCCUGGGCUCUCGCGGCCCCGGGCUCUCUCCUGUCCCUAACGGCCUGGUCGCUCUACGAGGGGGCCUUGCUCACUUCUCCUCUGCAAGGUACUCUGUUACUUCCUAGACCCCACACAGCUCCAGCCGACCAACCCGGAAAUCCUAACACCCGAGAGCUCUGGGGCCCGCGCUGGGUCUGGAGACAACGUGGGCGGAGCGAGCCCAAGGCUCCCACCGUCUGCCUUGGCGAGGAAGCGCCCUCUUUCGCCAUCCAGAACGGGAGCCCCUCCUUGGUUCCAGGACCAGAACCGAGCCCAGAAGCUGCUUCAAGGCCAGUGGCGGAUCUGACGCCCAACAGGCAUCGCCGUGCUGUGCUCUGACGGCUGCCUCUCUAGCAGGACGCCCUGUGCCACACUCUGGGCCCCACCUGAGCAGUCGCCAGAGGAGGCCACACCCACAGCCGCCAGGAGGGUGCAGUCCACUGGGCCUCCCCUGGAGACCCCGCCCUUCACCCACCAUCAGGCCCUGCUCUCCCACUUCUGCCAGCCUCCCUCGGCUCCAGUUUCCUUCCCGCGCCUUUUUUUUUUUUUUUUUUUAAAUAAAAAGAGAGAGAGAGAUCUUGAAUCUACUGGA
rnacentral:lncRNA from 1 species